rnacentral:rRNA from 1 species
GGUUCUCUCCGAAAUCGCUUGAGGGCGAGCGUCGAGUAAGUAAACCGUGGAGGUAGAGCACUGGAUGGCUUAGAGUCCACACCAGGAUAUCAAAACCAAUCAAACUCCGAAUUCCACGGGAUCCAAUACCUCGGCAGUCAGACGGUGGGGGAUAAGCUCCAUCGUCGAAAGGGCAACAGUCCAGCCCGCCGGCUAAGGUGCCCAAACGUUGUUAAGUGGAAAGGAUGUGAAGUUACUUAGACAGUGAGGAUGUUGGCUUAGAGGCAGCCACCAUUUAAACAGUGCGUAAUAGCUGACUCAUCGAGUGAUUUUGCGCCGAAAAUGAUUGGCGAUAAAUAACGUACCGAAGCCGCGGAUAGCAAGUUGGUUCGCCAACUUGUUGUGGUAGGAGAGCGUGAACGGUGCAGUGAAGCAGAACCGAAAGGGGACGUGGAGCGCCGUUCAGUGAGAAUGCAGACACGAGUAGCGAUAAACCAGAUGAGAAUUCUGGUCGCCGUAAACCCAAGGUUUCCUGGGCUAGGUUCGUCCUCCCAGGGUCAGUCGGGAGCUAAGAUGAGGUCGUAAGACGUAAUCGAUGCACAGCUGGUCAACAUUCCAGCACCGAUGUGGUUCAAACCGUUAGUGACGCAAGGAGAAAAGUGGCAAGAUUAUUGAAAAAUCUAGCUUAGGGGCAACCUGAAGCAAGUCACCAGACAACUUGUCUAGAAAAGCUAACGGCCCUUUUCCACAUUGCCCGUACCGCAAACCGACACAGGUGGGUGGGUGUAAAUGCACCAAGGCGCGCGAGAGAGACCUCUCUAAGGAACUCGGCACAUUAGCCCCGUAACUUCGGGAAAAGGGGUGCUCGCUUCGGCGAGCCACAGUAAAUUGCGUUUAGCGACUGUUUAACAAAAACACAGCACUCUGCCACGUCGUUAAGACAACGUAUAGGGUGUGACAAGUGACCAAUGCGGAAAGAUCAAGGCAAGUUGUUAGCCGCAAGGCGAAGCUCCGAACCUAAGUCCCCGUGAAUGUCGGCCGUAACUAUAACGGUCCUAAGGUAGCGAAAUUCCUUGUCGGGUAAGUUCCGACCUGCACGAAUCUUGUAACGACUGAACGACUGUCUCGGAGAGGUUCUCGGCGAAACUGUAAUGGCGGUGAAGAUGCCGCCUGCCCGCAGUAGGACGGAAAGACCCUAUGCACCUUUACUGUAAGCUCGUAUUGGCUUCUGAUUGAUGAUGCUUAGCGUAGGUGGGAGACUUUGAAGGCACGGUUUCGGUUGUGCUGGAGUCAAAAUGUGAAACACCACUCUUUGUCAAUUAGGAGUCUAACCUCGAUCCCGUUAGCCGGGCGAGGGACAGUGCGUGCGGGUCAGUUUGGCUGGGGCGGCUUCCUCCCAAAUGGUAACGGAGGAGCGCGAAGCUGGGCUCAGCAUGGUUGGCAACCAUGCGUCGAGCGUAUGGGUAUAAGCCCGGUUAACUGCGAGACCUACAAGUCAAGCAGAUGCGAAAGCAGGCCCAAAUGAUCCGAUGGUUGAAUGUGGAAUUGCCAUCGCUCAACGGACAAAAGGUACGCUAGGGAUAACAGGCUGAUCUUGCCCAAGAGUCCAUAUCGACGGCAAGGUUUGGCACCUCGAUGUCGGCUCGUCUCAUCCUGGGGCUGGAGUAGGUCCCAAGGGUUGGGCUGUUCGCCCAUUAAAGAGGCACGCGAGCUGGGUUCAGAACGUCGUGAGACAGUUCGGUCCCUAUCUUCCGUGCGCGCAGGAAACUUGAGAAGGGCUGUCCCUAGUACGAGAGGACCGGGACGGACGAACCUCUUGUGUGUCGGUUGUUUCGCCAGAAGCACGGCCGAUUAGCAACGUUCGGAAGGGAUAACCGCUGAAAGCAUCUAAGCGGGAAGCUCGCUUCAAGAUUAGGUUUCCCACCGGUUUACCGGGUAAGGCCCCCAGCUAGACGACUGGGUUGAUAGGCCGGAAGUGGAAGAGGCGCAAGCCUUGGAGCUGACCGGUACUAAUAGGCCGAGGAUUUAACUA